rnacentral:rRNA from 1 species
UACGUAGGGUGCGAGCGUUGUCCGGAAUUAUUGGGCGUAAAGAGCUUGUAGGCGGUCUGUCGCGUCUGCUGUGAAAAUCCGGGGCUCAACCCCGGACUUGCAGUGGGUACGGGCAGACUAGAGUGUGGUAGGGGAGACUGGAAUUCCUGGUGUAGCGGUGAAAUGCGCAGAUAUCAGGAGGAACACCAAUUGCGAAGGCAGCUCGCUGGGACGUAACUGACGCUGAGACGCGAAAGCGUGGGGAGCAAACAGG